AGCUCAGUUGGUAGAGCAUGGUGUUUGCAACGCCGGGUUGUGGGUUCGAUUCCCAC
rnacentral:tRNA from 1 species